UCGGGAAUUUUGGGCAAUGGGGGAAACCCUGACCCAGCAACGCCGCGUGAAGGAUGAAGUAUUUCGGUAUGUAAACUUCGAAAGAAUAGGAAGAAUAAAUGACGGUACUAUUUAUAAGGUCCGGCUAACUACGUGCCAGCAGCCGCGGUAAUACGUAGGGACCAAGCGUUGUUCGGAUUUACUGGGCGUAAAGGGCGCGUAGGCGGCAUGACAAGUCACUUGUGAAAUCUCUGGGCUUAACCCAGAACGGCCAAGUGAUACUGUCGCGCUAGAGUGCAGAAGGGGCAAUCGGAAUUCUUGGUGUAGCGGUGAAAUGCGUAGAUAUCAAGAGGAACACCUGAGGUGAAGACGGGUUGCUGGGCUGACACUGACGCUGAGGCGCGAAAGCCAGGGGAGCAAACGGGGAUUAGAUACCCUUGUAGUCCCUGAGCGGGCUGGCAAGGCGCAU
rnacentral:rRNA from 1 species